GAAUGUUUUGAAAAUACAUCAAAAGAUGACCGGAGUGGGACUUAAAAAAGAAAAAUGUUUCUACAGAACUAUAUUGUUGUUUACGGUAAUAACCUCUUGUUCAUUUUUUACCUAUUUUUGCAAUUUAGUUUUUAAAUGUUUGCGUUUAAGGAAUUUUCUUUUCUUUCAUAAUGAAAUUGUGACUUUUUUUAACUAAAACAAAGGUCGGGUUUGAGCUUUGUGGAUCUGUGGAUGUUAGACUGUCUCACUUCAGGGUGAAGACGUUCUUCUUCUUCUUGUAGCCGUUGGUGACGUCGCAUUGGCAGUGGGAGAGGCUGAGCAUCGGCUCGUUGUUGUAGGGCGUCGCCGUGUUCUUGGCGUCCUUGUAGAAUCCCAGCUCCCCCUUGUUCAGCACACAGUACAGGUUGACCCACGAUCUGCUGCAGUGGGGGGGUGGGGCAGGAGAAGAGGGAAAGUGGAGAAUGAGGGCGGGGCGGGGAGUGACGCGCAAGGGGAAGGCGGGGAUGGGGAGGGGCGGAGAUCGGGAAGAGUCAAGAGGAGCUGCCAAGUCACUGCUGCUAAGCUAACACCUCACUCACCUGACCAGAGCAGACAGGUAGGUAGGCAGGAUGGACCAGCCCCAAGAAGGGAGGAGGAAACACACUGCUGAACAAACACAGAUGAACGCACGAACGCACGGAUGACCACACGGAGGAGGCUCUCGAUGUCCAGCUUGCGGAACAGGAACCCCUCGUGGUGGGCCGUGUGGGUUGGAGGCUGCGGGACCGCCGGGCUGCUCUGGGCCGGAGCGGACCUGGACCGCCGCGUGGUCUCUCCCGGCUCUUUGGGUCGUGGCCUUCGUCUGGGCUUGGGUCGGUCCCGCGCUCGGGGCCGGUCUGGACGGGAAGACUUCUCUGGGAAACCAUUGGGCAGACGGGGGACCUCGCCACGAGCCUGUGGGGUCAAAGAUUCAGAUCAAAGCAGGAAGCUGCUCUACAAUCUCUGCCAUGGUGGUUCUCUUUUCUCUGCAGAAAAGCAGAAGAUAAAGUCAAAAGUACUGAGGAUCAGAUCAGAGGUGGGUGUUGUGUUCGGGUCUCACCCUCCUCCGGAGCGCCGGUCAGACUGUUCCCUCCCAGUGUCGUGCUCACUGGAGUCCUGUCUGUCCAGUCGGUGCCGGUCUCUUUCCCUCCGCCGGCCCUCGUGGCCCCCGUGGCCCUCCUGCUCGCUGGACGUUUGCCUCUCCAGUGUGCGUCUGUCACGGCGCUCCGCAUGUUCCCUCCAAACCUCCUGGGGGAGCUCGUCCCGCCGGGCUUGGAUCAGCUGCUCGCUGGACAGCUGCCGCUCCAUCCUGUGGUGGUGCGAGUGCGUUUGGGCCUGCGGCUCGGCGUGACCCAUGGGGUCGGGCCUGGAUCCCCGGGACCCCCUGGUGGGCUCGCUGUGAAGGCGUUCUCGGCCGCGCUCCUGCAGCACCACCUCGGCCAUCACCGCCACCUCCGCCCUGUCUGCUCCCGUCUCCCCCGUCAUGCUGUCCCGCUCCCUCCCCCUCUCCCUCACUCUCUCCAGCCGGCUGGCCACGAGCAGCGGCGUCACGGCGUCGUCCAGGUGUUUGAUCUUAGGUUGCCGUAGAUACGGGGACGACCUGGCCUCCAGGUCCCGCCCUGCCUGGACUGGCUGGAGGUGACUCAUCACCUUGGCGGCCUGGUCUCUCAUGCUGACGGCAGAUUCUCGCGCCUGAUUGGCCGACACUAACAUGGCUGCCGUGGCAACAGAUGCGAUGGAUGAGGCAGCUGGCUGACCUAGUCCUGCAGCCACGCCCACCACGCCGCCAUGCCGGGCCUCCAGGGUGUG
rnacentral:lncRNA from 1 species